rnacentral:lncRNA from 1 species
UCUUGAAAUGUAAUUGUUGGUUUCCUCUACUUUUUCCUUCAGUUCAUUCAGUUUUUCUUCACAUAUUUUGAAGCUCUGUUAAUUGGUGCAUUAACAUUUUGAAUUUCUAUGGGAGGAUCGACUCUUUUAUCAUUAUAUAACAUCCUUCUCUGUCUUUUGUUAUUUUCUUUGUUCUGAAGUCUAGUUAAUCUGACAUUGAUAUAGUCUCUUUCUUUUUGUUUAAUGUUUGGGCAGUAUAUCUUUUUUCAUUUUUUUGAGACAGGGUCUGGCUGUCUCACCCAGACUGGAGUACAGUGGUGUGAUUUCGGCUCACUGCAACCUCCACCUCCCACGUUCAAGUGAUUCUCAUGCCUCAGCCUUCCAAGUAGCUGGGAUUACAGGCAUGUGCCACCAAGCUCAGCUAAUUGUUGUAUUUUUAGUAAAGACAGGUUUUCGCCGUGUUGGCCAGGCUGGUCUCGAACUCCUGACCUCAAGCAAUCCUCCUGCCUUGGCCUCCCAAAAUACUGAGAUUACAGGCAAGAGCUACCGCACUGGGUCACAAUAUAUUUUUUUUUAUUCUUUUACUGUUGACUUAUAUAUUUCACUAUAUUCAACAGAACUUCUAAUAGUACAUAUUUAGAUCAUAUUUUGUAAUUAACUUCAUAUUUUAAUUGGUGUUAUUUAGACUAUUCACAUGUAAUAUACUUCUUGAUAUGUUAUGGCUUAACCCCAUCAUUUUUUUUUUCUUUUGGAUGUUUUCUGUUUGUUCUCACUGGUUUUUAUUUCUCUGUUGUUGUUGUUUUUCCCUGCCUCCCCACUGAUCCCUUGAACUUUUUUUUAGAAUUGCAUUUUGACUUAUUUAUAGUACACUUAAGCUAUUUCUUUUUAUGGCAUUUUUGUCUUUUUUGGGUAUUACAUAACAUUCUUGUUGACUGGUUUUAUCAUUUUGUCGGUUCAAAUGAAUUGUGAAAACCUUUUAUAACCCUUGAACCUUUUAUAAAUCUCCAUUUGCGUCUCUUUUCCCUCCGCCCUUUAUAAUGUAAUUGGCUUAAAUAUUUUUCUACAUACAUUUAGAACCACAUCAUACCGUGUUAUAGAUUUUGUUUCAACUGCCAAACAUAAGACUCAGAAAAAAGGGAUAAUGUAUUUGUUCUUAUUUUUUCUCCUUCCAUUGGUUGCUUUUCUUUCUUAAUGUUUCAAAAUGUCUUCUAUUAUAAUGUUAUUUUCAUUUUUAAAACUUCAUUUAAUCAUUUCUUUAUAGUAAGCCUGAUUGAUUACAAAUUAUCUAGCUUUUCUCAUCUGAGAAUGUCUUGAUAUCCCCUUUAUUCCUAAAUAUAAUUUUACUAGACAUAAGAUUCUGGGUUAGAUGUUUACUUUCAGCACUUGCAAAAUGUUGUGCCACUUCAUUCUGGCCUCCAGGAGUCCUGAUAGGAAAUCUGAUGCUAUUGAAAUUAUUUUUUUAUUAUAGGUAAGAUUGUGACUCUUUGGCUGCUCUUAAGAUUUUUCUUUGUUAUUUUCACAAGUUUGUCUGUGAUGUGCAUGGGUGUGAAAUUCUUGCAUUUGUAUUAUUUGAGGUUCACUUAGUCUCUUGAAUCUCUGGGUUUAUUUCUUUUGCUAAAUUUGGGAACUUUAAAACCAUUAAUUAUUUGAAUGAUUUUUCAGCCUUAACCUCCUUUUUCUUUCCUUUCAUUUUAGUAUUCCACUGACACAAAUGUUAAAUAUUUGCUAUAUACCCAUAGGUCCCUGAGACUUUGUUUUUUGUUCCACUCUACUUUCUGUGUUGUUCGAAUUGGAUAAUUUGUAUUAUUUUGUUUUCAAGUUUACUGAUUCUCUCCUUUGUUCCCUCCUUUCUGCUCUUGAGCCCAUCCAUUGACUUUAUAAAUUUAAUUUAUUGCAUUUUUCAGUUGCAAAAUUUCCCAUUUAAUUUGACUUUCUAUCUUUUAUAUAUUUGCUGUGACCUUCUAUUUUUUCAGUUUUUUAAAAUGUGUUAGUUGCUCACUAAAGCAUUUUUAUGAUAGCUUCUUUAAAAUACUUUUCAGGUAAUUCUAAUGUCUUUGUCAUCUCAGUGUUAGCUUCAGUUGAUUUUUUUUUUCUCAUUCAGAUUUAGGUUUUCCUCAUUCUUAGUAUAAUAAAGGAUUUUCAGUGGUAACCUCAACAUUAUUGGUAGCAUAUUGUGAAACUCUUGGUCAGUUUAAAACCUAUUUUAACUGGCUUUUCUGAUACCAUUAUGGCAGAGGAUUGUCAUUGCCCCUUGUUAUUGCCACGUGAAGUUAUAAGUCCAGAUUCAACACUUGACCUCUGUUUACACCCAAGUUGGGGGCUUUAAAUUGCUACCAGGAGAGAGAGAGAGACAGAGAGAGAGAGAGAGAGAGAGAGAGAGAGACUGGUGGGGAGUCUUUUAACUUCCUACUGGGCUUCCACAAUGCCAUCCUGGUUGGGAUAGCUGAGGGUGUCUUGUUGCUCCUUCUCAUAAGGCCUAAACUGACUCUGAGGAAGUGGAGUGAGUGGCAGUCUUAUUAUCGUUGAAUAGUGAAGAGAUACCUGAUUCUCUAUUCGACCACCUCUGACCUCAUCCCAACAGUGUUUGUGUUGUGGGGCAUUAGGGAAAGAGGCAGUUGUUGCUACCUUUUAGAGAUGGAAAUUCAAGAACUCCAUGUGGUCUCCACUGACACCAAAGUGAGGAGGGUUUUCAUCCUUGUGAGGAUAAAUCCAGGCCCUCUAUUCAGGCUUCUCUGACCCCACCCCAAUAUUGUCGUUGGACAACCUUAUUUUAAUCUGAUGCUGGUGGAAAUGUGGCUAUCCACUUAGCCUUUGCUAAUGUGUUCGAUAAUGAGGCUACAGUUUUUCCUGUGAUGUUUGGCUGGAAUAGAGUGGCUGUUUUUACAAGUUUUGGUCCUCAGCUAGAGAGCAAAAUAUUGUUCAGGCUUUUUUUGUCUGUAUCCAUUGACCUAUGUAGGUUGCUGGCUUUUCCAGCACCCAGUCUUGGAUAUAUGGGGCAAACAUAAAACUGAGAAAAUUCACCAUCAUGUCGUUCUUUGAAUCCAAAGAUCCCUAGCUGAUCAGCCUUCUCUCCAAAUUUCAGAGGAUUCUUAACAUUUCUUUUAUAUAUAACGUCCAUAGUUUUUAGUUGUGUUUGGCUAGAAGAAUAGGAAACAUACAUGUACUUCAUCUUCACAGAAAUAGAAAUAUGCCAUGGAAUCUUUUCAAAUAAAUAAACUGAACAGUGACCACAAUGGCCAAGAAUGUCAAUUUGGGAUCAGACUGUGUUUGACUUCCAGCUCCAAAACAUUUUAGCUUUGUGAUCAUGUGAGAAAUAAUGAAUCAUUACAAGUAUCAGCUUCUUCAUCUCCAAUAGAGAUAAAUACUAGCACCUCCACCACAGGAUUAUUAUGAGCGGUAAAUGAGAGUCUAUAUAUGAAAUACUUAUUACAGUGCCUAUCACUGGAAAAAAUUUUAAAUAAUUAUUUGUAUUGUAGAAAGAGUUUGUAGCAGGCAUGCAAUCUAUUCCUGUCCUUUACUGGUGAAUGUCUCAUAAAACAAAUAAAAGAAAACGAGAAGAAUCUCCUUGUAAGCAAGCCAACUGCAAAUCUUUUGGCAAACACACUAAUAUCAUAGUGACUAGGAGAUUGUCCACAUUUAUGGAAUGGUUUCGGCAGGAUGUGCCAGGUCUGUGUAAUAUUAAUUAUAGGAAAAAUCCUGGAUUCUAUUGACUUAUGAAGUAUGGCUCCCUGGAAAAUGUCACAUAAGCUUUGUAAAUAUUGGAGAACAAAAUGGAGAUGUUUUCGUGAUUAAACCAGUUCCCUUUUGUGUAAGUGAUGACCAUAUAUAGCCUUUAAAUGCCUCAUAUAUUAAAUCUACAUUAGAGCACCUACUAGAACAGCAAGAUAAAAGGGAUCUGUGUUGACAAUCCUGGACUUUUCAUGCUUGGUCUGUGCUUCACAACCGCCUGAGUUUGACAUUGGGUAAAACUUCUGAUUUUAUGUUCCUCUGACUUCACAAUGCAACUCUUUGUAUUAUCUCUAUAGUAUAUACAAAAUUAUCCGUAAAUCCAUAUCAUCACUCAUAGAAAACUGUAUGUAAUGUUUCAGUCUUUUCUUUUUCUGUCUCUUUGAAUAAACACCCCUAAAAUUCAAUCAUACGAUACAUAGUAAUGUUUACUUUUUUAUUUUUUUCACUUUUUAUCAUGUUGCGAAUAUUUUCCACACCAC